GCUGCACCUGGCAUUCUUUAAUAACAGAUAUUCCCUGAAUCUUCCCAGACUCAGACCCCAUGACUCCUUUCACUGUCCAGAAGAUGAAAGGGGUUCAGGACAAGGCUACCCCUGAACCCAGAAAAUUCCAGGGUACCUGGUUUGCUUUUUCAGCAGAACUAAUCUGGAGGGGUUUCAGCUUUUGAAUAAUUUUAAACCAAUAUGAAUGGAGGUGAAGGAAUAUCAGAAAUGGAACAGACUAGGCUAUGACUUUGAAAGUGUUCAGUCACCCAAAGUUUCAAGAACUAAAUGCCAUAUCAGAGUUUGCCAGGAGCUGAGCCAGGCAAAACACCAGUACUUCAGUGAGGAUUGAUGUACUUUACCAGAACUGCAGUGGACUGAUAGCAUCCAAGAGAGAGUAACUUAUCCAUCAUCUAUGCCACAUUUGAACAAAAACUUGAAGGGCUGAAUGCUAUAUAACCACCUUUUUAAACUUGAAACUACAUUUUCCAGGGACUUUGGUACAAUAGGAGAAAAUGUGCACCUGAUUGGGGUUAGUGGUGGUAUUUAUAUUUUGCUGCUUGCUCUAUAUUACUAAAUAUCACUUCGUCAAAGCUAGUUGAUG
rnacentral:lncRNA from 1 species